UUUUAUUUUAGUAUUAAUAAAAACAUGAAAGAUGAAAGAAUCGUGACAAACACAAAAUUCGUACAACGUUGUUUUUUCUUUGCGUUUGUUGCUUGACGACGUGGGACGGUGGAAGAAUGGAAACCAUAUUUUGUUUCCCUUUUUGCCCCUAUCUCUCCUGCUGACAGCAACCAUUGCGGUGUUUCUAUUUAUUUUUCCCGUCUACAGUCCACUUCAGCGACACUCUCUCUCUCUCUUCCUGAUGAUCGAUCUACACCUACCACAUAACCAGUCAUCCCCUUCAUCUCAAAGUCUCUCUUUCCCGUAAAAAACACAAGUUCUGGAUGCGCGCGCUGUUAAAUUAAACAAGAAGAAACUUUUUGCUUCCUAGCUAACUAGCUCAAACAGCCCAAGUGGUAAAUUAAUUGUGGAAAUUCUGUAUAUAGUUUAGAUAGAGGCUGUGUUCAGUUGACGAGAGUUGCAAACAAGAUCAAUAGCUAGGUGAAUUUUUCAAAUUUCCAUUUUGAUUCCGUUUUUUUAUUACUGAUUUUAGUGUUUCAGAGAAAGUUUCUAAGUUGCUUCUACAAUUUUGUUCCAUGAUUAAGCAUCUGAUGCAUUGUCCAAUGUAUUUUUUCUUAAUUGCCUCUUCAAUUUUUAAGGGCUGUUUCUUUUGCUUUGCUAUUGAUUUCCUAUUCAUUUGGAUCUGUCUUCGACCAUAUUUGAUAAAUUUUCCUGGCAAUCCUGCGUCCUAUCAAUCUCUCUUCCUCUCUGGCUUUCGAUCAUUCACGAUUGACCUAUAUCUAGAUAAGUUAAUUUGCAUUGUUCAUCAUUUUUUUUUGUAGAAAUGGAACUCUUUCAAUUGUUGUCUUUUCAGGUUAUCAUUAUUUGCCUUGUUGUUUGCGUUGUUGAGUGGGUGUGGGGGUUGUUUUUCUUCUCUUUUUUCACAUAAUCACCUAUCAUAUCGCCCCUGUAUAAGAAAGGGUUUGUGCGCUUUGUAGGGCUAUGUGCUUCUUAGGAUUCCAAUCCUGCUGUGUUUGGGGGUUUCAUAUAUUUUCUAUUAGAGGCAAGUUUUAGAUUAUGAUCCUGGUAACCCGAGCUUUCUCUCUGUGCAGGUUUUUUUUUCUCUUUUCAUGAUUCUUUUUGAAAGCCAUUGUUGUUAUAUGGGUUUUAUUUGUGAUUUCUUUGUUCGAAUUAUUUUGGUUGGGAUUGCUUUGAAUUUUGGUUUCGGAUCCUAUUGUUUUUCAUUUGUUGGCAUAUGAAUUGCCUGCAUGUGUGCUGAGCUUUUCAUGUUCAUCUGCAUUCUGAAACUUUUUUGUUCCUUUUUCCCCUUUCAAUAUGAUUUCUUUAUACUUUUCUUUUUAUUCUUGUUUUAAUUUACUCAUGAAGAAUUUUGUCGACUCUUUCCUUCCAUCACCUUUCAUAGACUUACACAUCUGUCAGGCUUGAGUAAGAAUUUUCAUCUUCGUAGCUCUGCACUUUAUGCUUUUGCUCAAACAAGCAAGGCACUUCAAUAAUUUCCCAUCAUUUUUUGGCUCCUCAGUUGGAUGUAUUUGCUACCUGCAAUUCAUGAAAUCUGGUUUUCGUGGACUAGUUAAAUUAACUUACUUUUGAAGAACAAUCGUGGAUGCUUGCAUGUAAUCAUCUGGGUAUCUUUAAUUAGCUUAAUUUCUCAUUGAUGUUGCAGGUUUUUUGUUUGAUCCACUGUGCCAAAUUUAAUAACAAUGCAAAAAAAAAAAAAACAUGAGCUAAAUAUUCCUUGUUUAUGUUAAAAAAUUUAGUCCGACCGUAACUUGGGCUAGCUAUAUAGUUAAUACCAAGGAGCAUGAGGUGUACUAUCAUGGGAUUGUUUCACGGGAUAAACUCUCUGUAAAUGCCCUACUAAAGAAACUACGUGCUGUUCUAUUAUUUUUUCUGGGAAGGAAAUACACCGACUUAAAUAUAUAGUUUUUAAACUCAGCCCGGUAAUUGAAGCCGUCUAAAGCCUGGAUCACCGGAUUUUAACUGAGUCAACUCUAUUGUUUUUAAGAAAUUAAAACGAUUGAAAUGGUGGGAAUCGAUUGAAAUGUCCUUAGAUGGCCUCCACCAAGCCAGAGAAAUCUUCAUUUGCUGAUUUCUUCAAACGUUCAGCUGCAUUCUGAACCUGUAAACGCAUUUUUUAACAAUGAUGGCAACGAAUCCCAAUUCUAUCCAAGAUAGAAAGAAGGCAAGUGACACAAGGUGGAUUAAGUUACCUCAGUAUCCCAAUUUGUUCUGGCAGUAAGAAUAAUUAAAGUUAUUGUUUGCAAGAGAACUCCAGCGAUCAUCCCCCACCAGAUCCCCUGAAAGAAAGUUAAUAUUGGUUCAUCUGAAUUCUCUUCUAUCAGCAAAGUUACAGGAAAAUCAAGCACUGGGCUUAGUCCACUGCCCUCUCUCUCUUUUAACAAAAGUUCCCAGGCUCAAAUUAAUACAGAGAAGAAAAAAGUUGCAGUAAGAAGCUAUGCAUGGAAGAUAAACUUACAGCAACUCCUAAGCUGGUUUUGAAGGCAAGGACACAUCCAAUUGGGAGACCAAUUACAUAAUAAGUGGCCAGGUUAACAUAAGCUACAGUAGCUUGCCAUCCACUCCCAAUGGCCACACCUGAAACUCAACAAGGAAAUGAUUAUUCUGCUAGAUCUUGUAGUUAUAGCCUGUAAGUGAACUUGAUGUGUAAAAUGUAGCUUUCUGACCUGACAGUAUAGGCUGAAUACCAUUUAAGAAAACAGAGAUGGCAAGCAGGGGAGUCAAAUCAGAAACUGCCUCUAUAACCUCAUAAUCGGUUGUAAAGAGUUUGCUUAAUCCAACUCGGAAAAUCAAAACUAUUGCGCUGAAAAUUAUACUAAUUACAAUGCUAGUGCCAUUCACCACCAUCACUGACAAUUUCGCUAUCUUCGGAUGACCUGCCCCUAGUUCAUUACCUACUCGAACGCUGCGAUUCAACCCAAAUAUUCAUCGGUAUAGAUAUGAUAAUAUGUAUUUUCUUCGUAUUUAAUGCCGAGAAGUAGCUCAAGGUAAUGAAAACAAAAUAAAUAGGUUCAACUGCAUGAUAAUAUCCCUUGAUUAUAUGUCAAUCCAAGUGUUUAAGUUCUUGGCAAACCUGGUAGAUGCGCUCAGGCCUAACAUGAAUUCCAUGUCCCAGUUCAAGUAGUUCAUGCUGAGGAUGUUUCAAUUUCAAGUUAGAACCUGGAAAAAAACAAUGGCAAUGUGCAAGUGGGAAAUGGAGAUGCUAGCUUCUGGCAUACCAUAUAGAAAUGGAGUCUAGUGCUACUGUUGGAUCAGUGAGGAGUCCUGAUAUAAGUACCAGUCCCUGGCUGUACCAUAUCUCCAAACUGCAGUAUUAAUUUAAAGUAUAAAAUAUUAAAUAAUAAUCAGAAUGUAGAACUUGGUACAAAACCAUUAAUAAGUUUUGUAAAUCUUUUUUAUACCAGAGCAUUACAGCAGACGAGACUGUAAGCUUAAAAUAAGGCCAAAUUCCUGUGAAAGCACUGGCAGAUAAGCCAGUCCAGGUUUCCUUGCAAGAAGGGCUCAGGAUAAUGUAAAGUCCAUUUAAGAUGACGAACAACCACCAAGAGAAGCUCAGUGUUAGAGCAGCUCCCAAGAGACCAUAUUGCAGUACAUAAACAACAAUCCAUGUGAGAAGAAUGUGGAGUAGGAAUACAGCAACAGACAUGUAUGCUAGAGGGUUUACUAUGUUCUGAGCUUGGAGAAACCUCUGCAUAGGGCAGCUAAAUGCAAAUGCAUAUAGCUGAGGUAUCAGGCCACGAGCGAAAAUUUCGCCCUGCUCAGCUAUGCUCUCUGUUUGCCCAAUAGCUCGCAGAACUGGCCCUGAAAACCAAUAUAGGAAUGUGAGGAGGAAAGCUGCUCCCAGGUGCAAAAUAAUUGCUCUUUGGCAAAUGAUGCCCAUUGAUGAGUACUUUUUGGCUCCAUAUGCUUGGCCACAGACAGUUUGCACCGCACUGGCCAUGCCCAGCUGUUGUUUAUUAUCAAAUAAUCACAAAGUUAGAAGAUUAUAAGGCAUGAUAACAGCUUGCAGAACAAAUUAAAAGUAGCAAUCAAGCUUUUAGUUUGUUCUUAGUUAAUUCAGCAGGAUAUGAAACUAACGUCCAAGCGACAGAAACAAUCAGUAGGUUCAAAGCGACACUUCUACGAUUAGAUUUGAGAUUUUCAUUUGAAGGUCUCAAAUUGAAACCCUGUAAAUCGGAUAUGACUACCAACGUUUUGUAACUCGGGGGCUAUGCCUCCUACUGAAACAAGGAAAAAAAGCAAUUGCCGGAAAGAAAUUAUAAAGACGUACCAUAAUGCCAUAAGCAAGACCCUGAAUUCCUACGUUGGCAAUAGAUGCCCCGGCAAGCUCUAAUGCACCCAAAUGCCCUGAAAACAUCUGGGUCACGAAACUAAGCAUGAAGGUGGACACGGAAACAAUAAUAGAUGAGCCAGAUAGGAUCCAAAGGAGCCUUGAUUCCCAUGCAACUAGACGUGGCCACCAUCGGACAGCCACAGGCCCGUGCUCCAAGAAUUCUUCAAUUGUAACAGAAGACAAAUCUCGAAUACGUGAAUGAGAGUCAAGUUCUAGUAGCGGUGUUUGAUACUCUGAUUCUUCGCCCAUGGUUAUUUCUGCGAGCACUACUAGCUAGGUGCUUGUCGAAGAAGGGUUUGUCAGUUCAUAUAUAAAUGUCUAGCAGGUUUAAUUAUAUAAUUAGGUAGAAGAUAAAUAAAGGAUCAUUCUAACAGUGAAGGCAGACAUGCUUGCAGAAGAGUAGCUAAGUGGCUGUUUGGUUGCAGAGAUACUUCUGCAUUUGAAAGCAACCACAACAAAAUAAAUUUUUGAUAAAAUUAAAAAUAUAAUUUAUUUUUUUAUAGGGUCUAGUGUAUUUCACGUUUAAAAUGCAGGUUUUAUCAAAGCUGCUUUUCUUCUUCAUUGUUUACUUUUUUAAGUGAACAAUAUGAAUGAAUUUUAAUCACUGGCAAUGUUCGUGAACAAUUUUUUUUUUCAAAAAACUUAAUAUUCACUCGCACUGUUCACGUAAAUGUGAAUAAUAUCUUUUUUUUAGAAACUAAUUUAGAGUGAAUUAAAUUCACUCGCAAUGUCAUGUGAACAAUAUUUUUUUUUCCCGAAAAACUAGUGUAGAGUGAAUUAAAUUCACUCGCACUGUAAUCUCAAUUUUAUUCUUGAUAAUAUUUUAUCUAAUUUUAUUGCACGCUCAAAAAAUCAAGGAAACUGUAGUUCUUAUCGGAUUAAUUUUGUACGUAAUGGAAUGGUAGAUGGUUUAAUGGAAUAAUAAAAAAUAUUUUAUAUAAAGUAUUAUUUAUUUCAUGAUGUAAUAGUAGUAAUUAAAUCUACAAUAUUUAAAUUUAAAACCAUUAAUAUUAAUAUAUAUAUAUAUAUUUUUUUUUACUUAUUUUAUAAUCUAAAUUUAAAAAGUAUUUUUAACCAAAUACAUUAAAUUAUUUUUUAUUCAAUCUUAAUUUUAACCAAACAUAUAUAAAUAUUAAACCAAUCUCAACUAAAAAUACUUUUUAUAAAAUAAAUUUUUUAAACUACAACCACAAAAACUAUCACAUUACGAAUACAAAGUUCAUCUCAUAAGCAUGGUACCUGAUUUUUCAUGGACUGCGGCGUGGUUGGUAAAAGCACGUGCACCUGACGGUCCUAAGAUUUAAUUAGCAUACAAGUAGGAGCAAUUAACAGUAUUUCUGGGCAUCAUUUAGCAUGUUAAGGCAAAUUUUACUAGUUGGCGACCCCAUCAAUGGAGGCCUUCUCGUCAUUCUACUUGCUCUUGAAAAAGAGAUAACAAGGAUGAGCAAUUGCUAUAUGUUUUCCGAAAAGGAGAUUCUAAAACGUCUUUGGUCACUCUUUAUGCACUUGCUCUUUUGGUGAAGAACACGUCAACCUACACGAAGUAGAGUCGAGCAUGUUCUUCCUCUUUUAUGUUGUGGAGCAUUUCCUUUCAGCGUUUCUCUUCCUCAUUUUAAUGGACUUGGGUGACUCUCUACACCACCCUCGAUUCCUACUAAAACUAGUAACAAUUUACAAGGUAGAGCAACCCUAAACUUCCCCUUUAGUUAAUUGGAGAGAGAUUUUCUUCCACGAAAGGUGUGGCCCGUUCCCUUUCGUUGAAGCAUACAAGCAUUAAACCCACCACACCAGAAAGAAAAGACGAGCAAAAUUUGCACAUAAGCAUUUAAGAAACCCUAUCCAGUGGACCAGGAGCAUGAUCUCAAGCUUUUCAACGGAGUCAGAUUCUGGUGGGUGGAAGACUUGCCUAAUAGGUUAAUACCACACGCAUGCACGAUUAAGCAUCUGAUGCAUUGUCCAUUGUAUUUUUUCUUAAUUGCCUCUUCAAUUUUUAAGGGCUGUUUCUUUUGCUUUGCUAUUGAUUUCCUAUUCAUUUGGAUCUGUCUUCGACCAUAUUUGAUAAAUUUUCCUGGCAAUCCUGCGUCCUAUCAAUCUCUCUUCCUCUCUGGCUUUCGAUCAUUCACGAUUGACCUAUAUCUAGAUAAGUUAAUUUGCAUUGUUCAUCAUUUUUUUUUGUAGAAAUGGAACUCUUUCAAUUGUUGUCUUUUCAGGUUAUCAUUAUUUGCCUUGUUGUUUGCGUUGUUGAGUGGGUGUUGGGGUUGUUUUUCUUCUCUUUUUUCACAUAAUCACCUAUCAUAUCGCCCCUGUAUAAGAAAGGGUUUGUGCGCUUUGUAGGGC
rnacentral:lncRNA from 1 species